rnacentral:rRNA from 1 species
UGAGGAAUCUUGCGCAAUGGGGGAAACCCUGACGCAGCAACGCCGCGUGAGUGAGGAAGGUUUUCGAAUCGUAAAGCUCUGUCAGGUGGAAAGAAAUGUAUGGACGUUAAUAGCUUCCAUGCUUGACGGUACCACCAGAGGAAGCACCGGCUAACUCCGUGCCAGCAGCCGCGGUAAUACGGGGGGUGCAAGCGUUGUUCGGAAUCAUUGGGCGUAAAGAGCGUGUAGGCGGCUUGAUAAGUCAGAGGUGAAAGCCCUGGGCUUAACCCAGGAAGUGCAUUUGAUACUGUCUAGCUAGAGUAAGGGAGAGGAAAGCGGAAUUCCUGGUGUAGAGGUGAAAGUCGUAGAUAUCAGGAGGAACACCGGUGGCGAAGGCGGCUUUCUGGCCCUAUACUGACGCUGAGACGCGAGAGCGUGGGUAGCAAACA